GAUGAACGCUAGCGAUAGGCCUAACACAUGCAAGUCGAGGGGCAGCAUAGAGUAGCAAUACUUUGAUGGCGACCGGCGCACGGGUGAGUAACACGUAUGCAACCUACCUACAUCAGGGGAAUAACCCGGAGAAAUUCGGACUAAUACCGCAUAAUACAGGGAUGCCGCAUGGCAAUAUUUGUUAAAGACUUAUCGGAUGUAGAUGGGCAUGCGUUCCAUUAGCUAGUUGGUGAGGUAACGGCUCACCAAGGCAACGAUGGAUAGGGGAACUGAGAGGUUUGUCCCCCACACUGGAACUGAGACACGGACCAGACUCCUACGGGAGGCAGCAGUGGGGAAUAUUGGUCAAUGGACGAGAGUCUGAACCAGCCAAAUCGCGUGAAGGAAGACUGCCCUACGGGUUGUAAACUUCUUUUGUACAGGAAUAAAAGACAUUACGUGUAAUGUAUUGCAUGUACUGUACGAAUAAGCAUCGGCUAACUCCGUGCCAGCAGCCGCCGCGG
rnacentral:rRNA from 1 species